GAGUAAUGAGGCGAGAAGGGGAGAUGAGCGCCGUGCUCGAAGGUAUCAAAAUGGCCUUUCUGAGAGCGGAUUCGUAUAUCUGUCUGACUGAGUCCCUUCGCUGUACACCUGAAGCUGAUACACAGCACAGACCUGUGCAACAGUCUCCAGCCUCCCCAGCCAGCGGGAGAGAUUCUUUAAUGUCUCAGCCAGCAGAAAGCCCACAAGUUAGGCACCCUGGACAAGACCCCCAUGCAUAAGAAAAUGUUCGUGAGUUACCUUCAGCCUAGAAAAUAAGAAAAAGUGAGAAAAACAAGAUCCAG
ensembl:lncRNA